UACGUAGGGUGCAAGCGUUAAUCGGAAUUACUGGGCGUAAAGCGUGCGCAGGCGGUUAUGUAAGACAGAUGUGAAAUCCCCGGGCUCAACCUGGGAACUGCAUUUGUGACUGCAUAGCUAGAGUACGGUAGAGGGGGAUGGAAUUCCGCGUGUAGCAGUGAAAUGCGUAGAUAUGCGGAGGAACACCGAUGGCGAAGGCAAUCCCCUGGACCUGUACUGACGCUCAUGCACGGAAGCGUGGGGAGCAAACAGG
rnacentral:rRNA from 1 species